GCGAACCGGGGGAACUGAAACAUCUAAGUACCCCGAGGAAAAGAAAUCAACCGAGAUUCCCCCAGUAGCGGCGAGCGAACGGGGAGGAGCCCAGAGCCUGAAUCAGCAUGUGUGUUAGUGGAAGCGUCUGGAAAGGCGCGCGAUACAGGGUGACAGCCCCGUACACAAAAGCGCAUGUGCUGUGAGCUCGAUGAGUAGGGCGGGACACGUGGUAUCCUGUCUGAAUAUGGGGGGACCAUCCUCCAAGGCUAAAUACUCCUGACUGACCGAUAGUGAACCAGUACCGUGAGGGAAAGGCGAAAAGAACCCCGGCGAGGGGAGUGAAAAAGAACCUGAAACCGUGUACGUACAAGCAGUGGGAGCNNGGGCGUUAAGUUGCAGGGUAUAGACCCGAAACCCGGUGAUCUAGCCAUGGGCAGGUUGAAGGUUGGGUAACACUAACUGGAGGACCGAACCGACUAAUGUUGAAAAAUUAGCGGAUGACCUGUGGCUGGGGGUGAAAGGCCAAUCAAACCGGGAGAUAGCUGGUUCUCCCCGAAAGCUAUUUAGGUAGCGCCUCGUGAAUUCAUCUCCGGGGGUAGAGCACUGUUUCGGCUAGGGGGCCAUCCCGGCUUACCAACCCGAUGCAAACUGCGAAUACCGGAGAAUGUUAUCACGGGAGACACACGGCGGGUGCUAACGUCCGUCGUGAAGAGGGAAACAACCCAGACCGCCAGCUAAGGUCCCAAAGUCAUGGUUAAGUGGGAAACGAUGUGGGAAGGCCCAGACAGCCAGGAUGUUGGCUUAGAAGCAGCCAUCAUUUAAAGAAAGCGUAAUAGCUCACUGGUCGAGUCGGCCUGCGCGGAAGAUGUAACGGGGCUAAACCAUGCACCGAAGCUGCGGCAGCGACACUGUGUGUUGUUGGGUAGGGGAGCGUUCUGUAAGCCUGUGAAGGUGUGUCGUGAGGCAUGCUGGAGGUAUCAGAAGUGCGAAUGCUGACAUAAGUAACGAUAAAGCGGGUGAAAAGCCCGCUCGCCGGAAGACCAAGGGUUCCUGUCCAACGUUAAUCGGGGCAGGGUGAGUCGACCCCUAAGGCGAGGCCGAAAGGCGUAGUCGAUGGGAAACGGGUUAAUAUUCCCGUACUUGGUGUUACUGCGAAGGGGGGACGGAGAAGGCUAUGUUGGCCGGGCGACGGUUGUCCCGGUUUAAGCGUGUAGGUGUGUGUUCCAGGUAAAUCCGGUUCACUUUAACACUGAGGCGUGACGACGAGGCACUACGGUGCUGAAGCAACAAAUGCCCUGCUUCCAGGAAAAGCCUCUAAGCAUCAGGUAACAUCAAAUCGUACCCCAAACCGACACAGGUGGUCAGGUAGAGAAUACCAAGGCGCUUGAGAGAACUCGGGUGAAGGAACUAGGCAAAAUGGUGCCGUAACUUCGGGAGAAGGCACGCUGACAUGUAGGUGAAGUGAUUUACUCAUGGAGCUGAAGUCAGUCGAAGAUACCAGCUGGCUGCAACUGUUUAUUAAAAACACAGCACUGUGCAAACACGAAAGUGGACGUAUACGGUGUGACGCCUGCCCGGUGCCGGAAGGUUAAUUGAUGGGGUCAGCGCAAGCGAAGCUCCUGAUCGAAGCCCCGGUAAACGGCGGCCGUAACUAUAACGGUCCUAAGGUAGCGAAAUUCCUUGUCGGGUAAGUUCCGACCUGCACGAAUGGCGUAAUGAUGGCCAGGCUGUCUCCACCCGAGACUCAGUGAAAUUGAACUCGCUGUGAAGAUGCAGUGUACCCGCGGCAAGACGGAAAGACCCCGUGAACCUUUACUAUAGCUUGACACUGAACAUUGAGCCUUGAUGUGUAGGAUAGGUGGGAGGCUUUGAAGUGUGGACGCCAGUCUGCAUGGAGCCGACCUUGAAAUACCACCCUUUAAUGUUUGAUGUUCUAACGUGGACCCGUUAUCCGGGUUGCGGACAGUGUCUGGUGGGUAGUUUGACUGGGGCGGUCUCCUCCUAAAGAGUAACGGAGGAGCACGAAGGUUGGCUAAUCCUGGUCGGACAUCAGGAGGUUAGUGCAAUGGCAUAAGCCAGCUUGACUGCGAGCGUGACGGCGCGAGCAGGUGCGAAAGCAGGUCAUAGUGAUCCGGUGGUUCUGAAUGGAAGGGCCAUCGCUCAACGGAUAAAAGGUACUCCGGGGAUAACAGGCUGAUACCGCCCAAGAGUUCAUAUCGACGGCGGUGUUUGGCACCUCGAUGUCGGCUCAUCACAUCCUGGGGCUGAAGUAGGUCCCAAGGGUAUGGCUGUUCGCCAUUUAAAGUGGUACGCGAGCUGGGUUUAGAACGUCGUGAGACAGUUCGGUCCCUAUCUGCCGUGGGCGCUGGAGAA
rnacentral:rRNA from 1 species